UACGAAGGGGACUAGCGUUGUUCGGAAUUACUGGGCGUAAAGCGCACGUAGGCGGAUUUGUUAGUCAGGGGUGAAAUCCCGGGGCUCAACCUCGGAACUGCCUUUGAUACUGCAAAUCUCGAGUCCGAUAGAGGUGGGUGGAAUUCCUAGUGUAGAGGUGAAAUUCGUAGAUAUUGGGAGGAACACCAGUGGCGAAGGCGGCUCACUGGACCGGAACUGACGCUGAGGCGCGAAAGCGUGGGGAGCAAACGGG
rnacentral:rRNA from 1 species